rnacentral:rRNA from 1 species
GACGAACGCUGGCGGCGCGCCUAACACAUGCAAGUCGAACGAGCGAGAGAGAGCUUGCUUUCUCGAGCGAGUGGCGAACGGGUGAGUAACGCGUGAGGAACCUGCCUCAAAGAGGGGGACAACAGUUGGAAACGACUGCUAAUACCGCAUAAGCCCACGGCUCGGCCUCGAGCCGGGGGAAAAGGAGCAAUCCGCUUUGAGAUGGCCUCGCGUCCGAUUAGCUUGUUGGGGGGGUAACGGCCCACCAAGGCGACGAUCGGUAGCCGGACUGAGAGGUUGAACGGCCACAUUGGGACUGAGACACGGCCCAGACUCCUACGGGAGGCAGCAGUGGGGAAUAGUGCACAAUGGGGGAAACCCUGAUGCAGCGACGCCGCGUGGAGGAAGAAGGUCUUCGGAAUGUAAACUCCUGUUGUUGGGGAAGAUAAUGACGGUACCCAACAAGGAAGUGACGGCUAACUACGUG